GUUCUGCACAUGUAUCCCGGAACUUAAAGUAAAAUUUUUUUAAAAAUUCAAGUUUUCAUUAAAAGAAAAAAUUAAAGGUACUAGGCAGCUGGGCGUGGUGGUGUGUGCCUGUAGUCUCUGCUACUCCGGAGGCUGAGGUGGGAGGAUUGCUGAGCCCAGGAGUUUGAGACUGUGGUGAGCAGCGGUCACACCACUGGACCCCAGCCUGGGGGACAGACCUUUCCUCUACAGGUAAUAAUAAUUUGUUUAAAAAUUGUAGAAAUGAAAAGGUACUAGACAAAUUGAAACAAAAACAGAAAGGAAUAUUAAUAAUAUUAGUAGCAGUUGAAAUAGAAUUUAAGGUGAGAAGCAAAUUGUGUAAUUAUCAAAUUUCAAUAUAAAGGAGAUAUAAUGACCAAUCUUUAUGCACCAAAGCACACAGUUGCUAAAUAUAUGUAAUACAAUUAAAACAGAAACAAGACGACCUUGGUAAAAUGUUGAUAGUGGCAGACUUUUCUCAUAAGUGGAUAAAUCUAGUAGACAAUAAAGACAUACACAAAAAUUACAAUUAAUAUAAUUGAUUUAAUAGAUGUUUAUGCUCCUUAAGAGAAUAUACAUUUAUUGCUGUGGUUCAGGAAUAUUUGUAAAAAUUGAACAUGUACUUAGCCACAAAGAAAAUUAUUUUUUAUUAGCCGGGCAAGGUGGCAUUUGGGAGCCCGAGGCUGGUCUCGAACUCCUGGCCUCAAGUGAUCUGCCUGCCUCAGCCUCCCAAAGUGCUGGGAUUACAGGCAUGAGCCACUGUGCCUGGCCAAGAAAGGCUCUUAAACAUAUAAAAAGUUGCUUAACUUCACAGUAAAAGAAAAGCAAAUGAAAACCACACCGAAUGACAGAUAAAUGCAACGAGUUAAUCUUGAUUGGAUCCUGGAUUGGAAGAGAUGCAAUAUUUUGGGUAAAUUAGGGGAAAUUUUAGUAUAGACUGUAAUAUAUUCAGGGGUCAGCGAUCUGUUUCUGAAAGAGCCAGAUAAUAAAUACUUUGGGUUUUGCAGACCUUAUGGUCUUUGAUUUAUCUACUGACCUGUUACAGCACAGAAGCAGAUAUAGAUAAUACCCAAGUAAUGAGUGUGGCUGUGUUUCAAUUAAACUUAAUAAAAACUGGCAGUGGGCCAUACUUGGUCAUUCAUGCAUUAGAUGAUAUUAGUAAACUGAUGUUAAAUAUCUUUUGUUUUCAGAGAUAGUGAGAUUGUGGUUAUAUAGGAGAAAACAUCUGACGUAGUUAGGGGUAAAAUAUUGUGAUUGAUGUCUCCCUCCAAAAAAAGUGUACAAGUAUAUGCAAAAAAAUAAAAAGCCAGGCAAAAUGGUAGGUGCUUAUAGUUCCAGCUACUCCGGAGGCUGAGGCAGGAGCAUUGCUUGAGCCCAGAGGUUUGCUUUUAAAAAAA
rnacentral:sRNA from 1 species